CGCUUCUAGGCGGGAUUUCUUCGAGGGAUUCUAACAUUAAACAACCCUGCAGUGCCAAGAUUAUUCCAAAGGGGUCUGGAUGGGCUCUCCUGUGGUUUUUGGAGGCAUUUGACCUCUGCGGUUUUGUCCAGGACGAUUCUCACUAAAGUCCAUUAACCUGUUUCUUCCCUGGAAGAAGUGCAAACUAAAUAAAAAUAAGCCAGUGUAUACGCUUAACUACGAACCGGAGAAAAUUUUUGUGAAGUUCAUAGACCUCAAAGGAGCUUUGAACUCAGAGCUGCUUGAAACAAGGGGAAAGACUGCUGUCUUUCUUUACAACGAUUGUCGUUUUCGCUGAUGUAAAAUACAAGCUGUAGAAGUGAAGUAAAUUUGAUAAUCCUGUACAACGUUCUACAGGAAGGUACAAAGAUAACAGUACAAGUCACCAGAAGACUAUCAAAAGUAAAAGGACUCAGAGACUGAGAAUUAUGCUGUGGAUAAAGUAUCUUUCGCGUUCAUGGAAAUGAAAACACUUCAAAGGGAUAUUACAUGAAGGGGAGGAAACGGGGAAGAAAUAAUUGAGGAUAUAUGCAUUGUUGAAAAAGAACUCCUGCUGCCAUCUAGUUCAUCAGGUUUUUGUAUGUCUGGCACUGGAAUACAAGUGGCCCAAGCUAUGAAGGUCGAAUUGGGAAGUAGAGUCAAUCCUCUGGAAGUUGAUGUUUUCUCAAUUGUCGAAGCCAAUAUUCAUGAUAAAUAUUAAAGAAAGAUUUAAAUUUAAGAACUAUUCUAUGUACUUUUUGGUAAAAACUAGGCAAAUAGCCAGUGGAACACAAGAUACUAUUACUGGAAAAUUUUCCAUUGUUAAGAAGAUAGAUAAUGUAAAAGAUAAAAUGGAGUGAAAUAUAUGGUCGCUGUAAUAAAAUAAGGACGUACACUUAUAUAAAAUAUAAUAAUUAUAGUAAUAUAAUAGUACUAUAAUUAUUAUAUUUUAUUAUUGAUAUUAGAAUAUUAUUA